AGUGGUAGCUCAGUGGUUACGAUGUUGGGCUAUUGACCAGAAGGUUGUGAGUUCAAAUCCCAGCACUA